rnacentral:rRNA from 1 species
AUUGAACGCUGGCGGCAUGCUUUACACAUGCAAGUCGAACGGUAACAGGGAGCUUGCUCCGCUGACGAGUGGCGAACGGGUGAGUAAUGCAUCGGAACGUGCCCGAUCGUGGGGGAUAACGGAGCGAAAGCUUUGCUAAUACCGCAUACGAUCUACGGAUGAAAGCAGGGGACCGCAAGGCCUUGCGCGGACGGAGCGGCCGAUGGCAGAUUAGGUAGUUGGUGGGAUAAAAGCUUACCAAGCCGACGAUCUGUAGCUGGUCUGAGAGGACGACCAGCCACACUGGGGCUGAGACACGGCCCAGACUCCUACGGGAGGCAGCAGUGGGGAAUUUUGGACAAUGGGCGAAAGCCUGAUCCAGCCAUGCCGCGUGCAGGAUGAAGGCCUUCGGUUGUAACUAGCUUUGUUACGGUAACGAAAGAACUACCUUCUAAUAAAGGGGUACCGACUGACGGUACCGUAACGAAUAAGACACCGGCUAACUACGUAGCCAGCAGCCGCGGU